rnacentral:rRNA from 1 species
UGCCAGCAGCCGCGGUAAUACAGAGGUCCCAAGCGUUGUUCGGAUUCACUGGGCGUAAAGGGUGCGUAGGUGGCAGGGUAAGUUUGAUGUGAAAUCUCCGAGCUUAACUCGGAAACUGCAUUGAAUACUAUCCUGCUCGAGGUUUGGAAGGGGGACUGGAAUUCUCGGUGUAGCAGUGAAAUGCGUAGAUAUCGAGAGGAACACCAGUGGCGAAGGCGAGUCCCUGGACAACACCUGACACUGAGGCACGAAAGCUAGGGGAGCAAACAGGAUUAGAUACCCUGGUAGUCCUAGCCGUAAACGGUGCAUAUUUGCUGUAAAAGGAAUCGACCCCUUUUGUGGCGUAGCCAACGCGUUAAAUAUGCCGCCUGGGAAGUACGGUCGCAAGAUUAAAACUCAAAGGAAUUGACGGGGGCCCGCACAAG